rnacentral:rRNA from 1 species
GACGAACGCUGGCGGCGUGCUUAACACAUGCAAGUCGAACGGAAAGGCCCUGCUUUUGUGGGGUGCUCGAGUGGCGAACGGGUGAGUAACACGUGAGUAACCUGCCCGUGACUUUGGGAUAACUUCAGGAAACUGGGGCUAAUACCGGAUAGGAGCUCCUGCUGCAUGGUGGGGGUUGGACAGUUUAGGCGGUUGGGGAUGGACUCGCGGCUUAUCAGCUUGUUGGUGGGGUAGUGGAUUACCAAGGCUUUGACGGGUAGCCGGCCUGAGAGGGUGACCGGCCACAUUGGGACUGGGAUACGGCACAGACUCCUACGGGAGGCAGCAGUGGGGAAUAGUGCACAAUGGGCGGAAGCCUGAUGCAGCAACGCCGCGUGCGGGAUGACGGCAUUCGGGUCGUAAACCGCUUUCGCCUGUGACGAAGCGUGAGUGACGGUAAUGGGUAAAGAAGCACCGGCUAACUACGUG